GAUGAACGCUAGCGGCAGGCUUAACACAUGCAAGUCGAGGGGUAUAGGCUUUCGGGCCUAGAGACCGGCGCACGGGUGCGUAACGCGUAUGCAAUCUGCCUUACACUAAGGGAUAGCCCAGAGAAAUUUGGAUUAAUACCUUAUAGUAUAUUGAUGUGGCAUCACAAUGAUAUUAAAGAUUUAUCGGUGUAAGAUGAGCAUGCGUCCCAUUAGCUAGUUGGUGUGGUAACGGCAUACCAAGGCAAUGAUGGGUAGGGGUCCUGAGAGGGAGAUCCCCCACACUGGUACUGAGACACGGACCAGACUCCUACGGGAGGCAGCAGUGAGGAAUAUUGGACAAUGGGCGCAAGCCUGAUCCAGCCAUGCCGCGUGCAGGAUGACGGUCCUAUGGAUUGUAAACUGCUUUUGUACGGGAAGAAACACUCCUACGUGUAGGAGCUUGACGGUACCGUAAGAAUAAGGAUCGGCUAACUCCGUGCCAGCAGCCGCGGUAA
rnacentral:rRNA from 1 species